GCCAGUUUGGCUCAGUGGAUAGAGCGUUGGCCUGCAGACCGAAGGGUCCUGGUUCGAUUCCGGUCAAGGGCA
rfam:Myotis davidii contig204849, whole genome shotgun sequence.